GGACCAAGUCAGAGUACUCCAAACUCUGCGACCUCGUUAGUGACAAAUACAGCGACGGCCCUCCUCAACAAUCGGGCCAGCAGGAGCUCUUUCCUGAGAGCGGCGUAUUCAUGUCCUCGUUCCGCCUUGCUGCCAUGAGUCAUGCUUCAAAGCCCAAUUGCAUGCGUUUAUUCCACGCACUUUUUGACCACUUUUUUACAGUUGAGGAGUGUCAAAAUGCUGUCGCUUUUGGUCGCCCUGGAAACAAACCUGUAGGAACAGGAAAGCGCAUCCUUGACCGGAAAAAAGUUGAAGAAAUCCUAACGUAUGUCCUGAGAUGCGGUACCCUUCCUGAUUGGGACAAUAUUGAGGAGGCCAAGCUCAAGCAAGCUUUGGUAAACAAAUGUCGGGCAAGAGCAGGUUUUAAGUAGGCCCUUGUACCUGCCAAGUUCAUUCUGGGGUAGGAUGUUUCCUUUGUAAACAUGUUGAUAAUUUGGUCUGGGGUUGCGCAGUAUAUAUUGUAUAAAAAUGCCCUAUGAUGUAGCUUUUAGUACCACGUUAUACUGUGACAAUGCAUAUUGAGCUGUGCUGUGUCUCGCAAAUUUGGCACUGAUGCAACCUCACUAACAAGCUAGCGGCUAAUAUCCCUUCACAGUACAAAGCUGUUUCCAAAUAAAAAACGGAAAUGACGCAGUAUGUUAGUAGCUUUUGUAACCAAUUUCAAAAUGUUUUAAUGAUCAUUUAUGUACCAAAUGUUAUAUUGUUAUCACAGGAGGCUGUUCUAUUGUUUACAACAGUGGUUCUUAAUCAUAGGGCUGGGGCCCACUGUUUGGCUGCGAAUACCCCUUGAGGGCCGCCAAUAAAUAUCUGUUUCUUAGCUGUGGUCCGUCCAUAUGGGCCGCAAUGGUACUCAGUUGUAAUACACUUUAGUGUAAGAUGACUAAUUCAGUGUUUGUAUUUGAGUGGGUCCGAGACCCCUCUGUAGUGGAAAAGUUGGUCGGGCCCUGAGGUAAAAAAUGUUAAGUAUCCUUGGUGUUCAAUGUGUGAUUAUUUUUUAUAUGUAGACCAGUUCCAAACACCACGGUUACAAUUUUAUAAAUGUAUUUCAGUUUUUGCUUGGAAUAUUUCCAAAAUGGAAAUUUAGUCAUUUACUCACCCUCUUUCUGAGAUUAAGUCAGGUGUUUUUUUUAACUACAGUACAUGGUUUGCUCAACAAGGAGUUAAAAAAAACUACACCGGACUUUUUCACAACAACAAAGUGAGUACUUAAGGUUAAAUUCAUUUAGUUUUGUAUUUGUUUUAUUUUUUGUAUAUUGUUUUCUAUGUUGUUUUAAUUAUUGUGAAUGUCAAUAUGUACAUUAUGUAUGUACUAAUUAACUACAUUUAAAUUGUUGUAUUUAAUCUAUUUUUAUAUCUUAUAUUUUGUAUUUGUAUAUGUGUGUAGCCAAAUAAAGUGAUACACCGCUCAA